CUAACCUUUAAAUUAGUCCCGUGAGACUAAGAAGGGAAUGGCGAACCAUGAUUUAUGGAACAUGGACACCUCUUUCUUGCUUGCGGGCGGGGAAGAGGUUUUUUGUU
rfam:Desulfosporosinus youngiae DSM 17734 chromosome, whole genome shotgun sequence.